UGUGCAUCUUGAACAAUGGUAU
rnacentral:miRNA from 1 species